rnacentral:rRNA from 1 species
AGCAGCCGCGGUAAUUCCAGCUCCAAUAGCGUAUAUUAAAGUUGUUGCAGUUAAAAAGCUCGUAGUUGAAUUUCGGGAUUGGCGCAUCGGUCGUGCCUCACGGGGUAUGAACUGGUGCAGUCAAUUUCUCACCUUCUGGAGAACCGCGAUGUCCUUAAUUGGAUGCCGCGGGGAACCAGGACCCUUUACUUUGAAAAAAAUUAGAGUGUUUAAAGCAGGCAUUUUUGCUUGAAUACAUUAGCAUGGAAUAAUAAAAUAGGACGGCAUGGUUCUAUUUUGUUGGUUUCUAGGGCCACCGUAAUGAUUAAUAGGGAUAGUUGGGGGCAUUAGUAUUCAAUUGUCAGAGGUGAAAUUCUUGGAUUUAUUGAAGACUAACUACUGCGAAAGCAAUUUGCCAAGGAUUGUUUUCAUUAAUCAAGAACGAAAGUUAGGGAUCGAAGACGAUCAGAUACCGUCGUAGUCUUAACCAUAAACUAUGCCGACUAGGAAUCAGACGAUGUUUAAUUUUUAAUGUACUUCG